rnacentral:siRNA from 1 species
UAACUACUGCUAACAUUGGUGGCC